rnacentral:rRNA from 2 species
AAGUAAAAGUCGUAACAAGGUCUCCGUUGGUGACCAGCGGAGGGAUCAUU